GAACAGAAAUUAUGGAAAGAUUAGCCCAAAUUAAACUACAAAGUAUGGAAUGCUAUAAUGUCCCAUCAAUGUGCACUUCGGAAUAUUUCAAAAGCUAGCAGUCGUUCUUCAUUUACAAAAUCUACAGAUGAACUAUGUUAUAAAGGGCUUCAUAAAAUAACUUGAGAACCCCGUUAAACAAAUGGCUAACAAUACCCAAAGUUGUCUUACAACUGUGUGUAACGCAGUCAACCAUUACAACAAGUGAAUCAAUCAAUUCCGUGACAGGGGUUCACAAAAAACACUAAUAACGUGAGUGUGUGUUUGUGUGUGUGUUGGAGGGGCGGUAAAGGGUGAGGGAUGACUUCUAUAGCGUAACUUACGAUAAUAACCGUGCUCUGUCGUGCAACGCAAUUCUGCAAUAAGGUAAUAUUAAUUACGAAUAAAACAAAUAAAACUUUGAGGCGAUGGACAGAAAAAUAACCCCGUUCCAGGGAAAAGGUAUGUGUCUUGUUACCCUCGUAUUGUUUUAGAUAUACUCUAAGUCCAUUUACCUCACGCAGUAUGUGAGAGAUAACAAGUCAGAAACCGAGAACGAAUAAAGUUAACUGUAUGAACAAUGGUCUGUGCUGUCCUCAGACCAGCUGAGGUGUAUUAAACUGCUAGAUAAGACAUAUUGAGAUGUUUGACACGACGUGAUUCAGUGGCUGGAGAUGAUACAUGUGCAAUAAAACUGGUUUCACUUAAAUAUUGGAUGAUACAUAGUAAUUGAACGUAUUUUAAGGAGAUGAGAUCAAUAACUCGAUUCUAUUCUAAAUGAUGGCUUCAACUUGCAACAGCCCAGCAGUUUGAACCGCUUAGCUUGAAGCAUAAAUUUGAGAAACAUUUAACGUUGUACAUGUAAGUAGAUAUUUUAUGUACUGUAUCAAUUGGUCAUUCAGUACAAAUCAUUAGAAAGAACAAUUGAUCAAUUCAAAUGCCUACACUGAUCUUCAUUUUGCCGCCACAACUUCAUAAAAUGUUAAAGUAUGAUUGACUGCGGAGCACUGUAGGCAGGUAAUCAUGUUAGCAAAGUAUAUUGACGUGCUCAUCUGACUGCAAUUUACGGAGAUUCACGCCAGCAUAUGUGUUCCAGUUUGGCGACAACCACUCUGAUAAUUGUUUAUUCAUAGAUGUGAAUAUAUUCAGAAAUGUAAUUAUGUGUUGCAAUUACGUGAUUGAUAGAAGAUAGUAUAUCUACAUAAGAUUUUCCGAGUGCUAUUGCAUCUUUACACCUUCCAUUAAUGUUGAAGAGUUGCUACAGGCUUCAAGAGCACCGGGUGAAGCCGCAGCCGAUUCAUGCUGCAAUCGUCACAUAUUUCAACAUCUCGCUUGGAUGUAGAAAUGCACCUUUUCUUAGUGUAUGUAAUUUAUAAAUAAGCUCAGCUCCAUAAGUUUGUUGGAAUCUGUUCACUUAUCACUGAUCAUGAUUACGAGUCCAAAUAUUGCUCCCCAAUUUGUCCGAAAGUAGCUCUGAAACCUAGGCUGGAUCAGACUGCAAACUGAUGCUCAGGUUCUGAGGUAGGGCGUGCGUGGGACGGGAAGUUGGUGGGAGAGGAUUGUUGAAAGCUGGGGGAGUGGUGUGGGGGGGGGGGGGGGGGAUGCUGGGCGAGGGAGGAUGCCUUAGCUAAUGACAGCGUCCUCUACAGGAGAGUGAAGACAUAAUUUUCUCGUUGUGUCCAAAAGCUUUGCAAGGAUUUGAAUUUACAGCACAGAAGAGGAUCAUUCGGACCAUCGCCAGUUAUCCGAAGAAGCCACCCAUUUAAUCCGUUUCCUUAUACUUUCCCCUUUACCAAUCACAUGUUCCUUUUCAACAAUGGAUUUUGUUUACACCUCUGUUUCUGGUAAGACAUGUCAUGUCCUAUUUGCAUUUUUAAAAAUCUGAUGUCUCUAAUGUUUCUGUAGUUUGUAACAAUGUAUACUGCUGUGUAUGUGACUAGAGCUUGAAUAUCUGCACUUAAAAGUUGUUAGUAUGUUUCUUAAAGCAACUAAUUUGCUUACCUUGCGACUAUUUGCUGUUGUGGUGUGUUAAUAGGUUAAAUGUUUUUGUAUAUUGUAUCAGUGCUCAUUAUAUUGGUAAUUAGCAUUGUGCGCCGAUAAAACAGACCACCUGGACAAUCUUGUAUAUGUUGAUACGUUCCAUGUACCUGCUCCCUUUGAAUAUUUUCUAUGAGUACAUACUUGUGGAAAACAUGUACUUUGUUUUGAGAGCACAUAGGCUCUCUAUAUGUAUUUGGAUUGUAAAUAGACUGCAUACAAAAAUUAUUUGUGUAUAUGUUCAUGGUGAAGUUAUUUGUACCAAUCAAGUCACUGUUUCGUAAGUGUAUAUCUAUAACUGUGUGCCUGUAUAUUCAGUCUGCGUGCUUUAGCUGUGCAUCAUUUAUUUUAUUUGAACAUGUGCGUUAUUAAUACAUUUGUAUAUUUAUUUUUAGAUGUUAUGUGUCAUGCAUCUGCACAAUGUGUACUUUUGACUGUUGUGUUUGUAUGUUAGGUGUUGUUUGUGCUAUGCUGUGCUCUAUUCCUGUCGGCUUUAUCAUUGUGCUAAGGAGUGCUGUGUUUGCGGACUGUAGAACACAAUCAUGUUCAUAAAUUGUGAAACGCUUUUGUAUAUGAACAUAUGAAGCCUUGUUUAAUUAGUUCCAGCAGUUUUGUUGUAGUAGGACAAGCAGAAUAAUAAGGGAUUAGUACAAUCAACUUCUAUUCACUCAGCAAACAUUGUAAGUAGAAAGAAACAAACUAAAUGUGACAACAACACGCGUAAAACAUAAGAUUUCGAUAGAGCUGGAUUUGGAUUGAUUGGUACAAUAAUGUCACAUUUACAAUUUCUGUAUGACUGGGUGCUUUAAUAGCAGGCUUUUGGCUUUGCAGGGAAGAGAAUGACGAGUCAUAUGCUUUAUUUUCCCAGGGAUUCGUGUUGUAAAAGAAGAACCAAAGCUCUAUUGAGGAAAUGUAAGCAUACGCAGGCAUUGCCAAUACAACACGUCUUGGGUUAACAAUUAGAAUAACAAAUUGUAAUGCUAUCUUUCAGCACUUUCCACAAUCUCAUCCCCCUCACCACCACCCCCACUUUAAAGUCCCUAAAACCACUCCGACCCCGCCCCAUACGAGUUUCUGAAUUAACCAGCCAUUGUUGAAAAGCCAAGUAGUCAAUACCUUGAGGUGUUUUACACAUGUUUUGCGCAAAUAUCUAUUGGGGAUUGUGGUAGCGUUGGAUUAUAGCUGUGGGUAUAUCCGAAAAGAAGACCUCCUACUUGUACAUUGUUUACAAUGAAUUCAAACAGACUGAAAGACGAACAAAAGGUUGUCCAAAUGUGACUUUCUCAACCAUCAUUGUUAAAUUAGAAGACAAGAUAGUGUAACGAUGAAAGAAAUCGCAAGUUCUACCUAUUUACGGUACCUAUCUAUCGAUGCGUCGACCUACCUACCUGCUAUCUAUGUUCGACCUACCUGUCUGUUCGUCCAAUUAACUCCAAUAUGCAUCAAUGACACAAUUAUAAAUGAACUGCAUAGGCAAAACUAUGGUAACCUUCUUGUCUUCCAGUAAUUAAUUCGUGCAGAUGUUUGGUUGACUUGGAAUGAUAAUCAGCGGGCGGUCGAUUUAGAUUUAUUUACAUAGGUGCAAGUUCUUACCUCCACUUGUGAUACUUGUAUUGAGAGAUUUCCUGCCUGUGGUUUAACGUUGUGUUUAAAAAGAUUCAUUUAGUCUUACAUCGCAACACAAACACAAAACGACUUUACAACUUAAACAUCUAGGAAUCCUUUCAUAGUUAAGUGGAAUCCACUUUGGAAAACUUUAAACCUUAGUGUGUCACCACAAUGAGAAUAAAUCUUUUUCAAGGUUAAUUUCACAAUCAUGCGCUCUAUAUAAAAUGACUUGGCCAUCAAAUAGUCAGCAAUGCCUUAAAUUAAGGUUUUUAAUGCGAUUCCAGAUUUAGGUGGUCACCUGUGGCUUAGUUGGUAGCUCCUUUUCAUGGAUCAAAAAAUGGUUCUAGUUCCAUUCCAGGACCCUGAAUACAAACAUAAAAGCUGACAUCCCAGUACAGUAUUGAGGACGUGCUGCAUUGAUGGGUGCUAUUUCUCCGAUAAGAUUCGAAUGGAACCCUCAUUCGUCCUCUCAGUCCAUUAUUUAUGUUUUGCAAUGGUGAGGAAAAUUAAACAGGACUGCAAACAGACGAAAAUACUGCUCCAGCAUUACAAAAUAGUGGUGAUCAGGUAGGUGAUUAAUGAAUACGGUUCCACUAUAGCUUCGAGCUGACUUCAAAAGUAUUUUUUUCAUCUUCAGUAUGCUGACAGAAUGUGUUCGCUGAAUAAAGCAAACAAACGUGAAACACGCAGAAACAUAGGCAUAAGACUGCCUAUUAGCUAGUAAAACUUCAAAUCCCUAAAACUAUAGAUAGCUAUCAGGAUAUAUUUUGACAUGGAAUUUCACAUUGCUAUUGCGUAGAACGAGAACGAUUGCCCUGCAAACAACACAUAAACAGUUCAAGGCAAUGAUUCAUUAAGCAGAUUGUAAUUCGCAUCUCCAAUCGUGGGUAGGUAUUAUUACACAGAGGAAGCAGCAUGUUUUUUUUACAGCGUUGACAGGAACAGUUUGCCCCAUCGUAUAUAAUUUCGUGACUGUUAAGGAAGCCAACAGUUUAUCCUGAGUUUUUUUAAUAAAUCGGUACAGUAUAGGGAGCACUCAUUUACACAAGAAUGCAAAGGCAAGUGAUGCAUCUUUAGUUGGAAGACAGUCGGCGUAUAACAUAGAAUAUAAUUAGCUGGGGACUUGUCAUAAUUCAUCACAGAAUUGCUUGGCAACUAUUGUGAAACGCUGUUUUAAUAACCGAUUGUGCGGUUCAAAAAAAAAUCACACACUUAAAUUGUUAUGAAUAACAAUGAGAAACUGGGCAACUUCUGAUCAAAUUCUGCUUUGUUUUCAGAGCAUUUCUUUUUUCGAGUUGCAUACAUGUAUUGUGGGAGUGACACCACUGCAUUUACGUUCAGGUGAAUAAAAGUCGCCAGAGAAAACUCCUGAAAAUAGCUGUUCUCGCCGGCGUAUUAUUUGACUUUUGACAGAAAGUAACCAAUCAUUUUGCCCGCGUUUAUGCAACAGACCUGCCCCACUACCCUUUGAGAAAGUAAUCCUGCACGUGCAUUGGAAAAGACAUGGAAGAGUCUGUUGUUAUGAAUUUAAUUCUAUGCUGUCAGCCAGACUUUUGAUUCCUAAAUGGCAUGUGUAACUAAACAAUGGCUGUAACCAUAACAAUAAAGCAUUAUGACAUCGAUCUGUUCGUGUUCAAAUAGUAACAACAACUAACUGAUUCGAUUUUAUUCAGAAAGCUCUUUCCCUUUUAUAGAGGAGCUCAGACCGAAAAUGCCCCACAAAGUUAGUUCAAGAAAAACUUUUCUUUUCCCAUAAAAAGCAAGUAAAGAUGCAGGGUCGUCACCCUGUUAAAAGAUAUAGUUUCCCUUAC